AUCGAACCGUUUUAGAAACAUCAGCGGCCAACAAUCGUCAGGAUUGUUGAGCUGCAUUGGCGGGAUUUCGCCGUCUUCGUUUCUCUUUCUUCGCGGACGAACACGCGCUGGGGCUGCGAGUUGGCAGGAUCCCUGGUCCUUGGCAGGAUAAGCGUUAGGGGCUUGUAGCUCAGUUGGUUAGAGCGCGCGCUUGAUAAGCGUGAGGUCGGAAGUUCAAGUCUUCCCAGGCCCACCACUUUCAUCGAGCGAGCAUUCGUCUUCUGGUUACGGGGCCAUAGCUCAGCUGGGAGAGCGCGUGCUUUGCAAGCAUGAGGUCGUCGGUUCGAUCCCGUCUGGCUCCACCAGCCUUCGCAGGCUUUGCCUGCUUCGGCUCGGCGAGCCGGAUCGUGGCGAAGGCUGCCACGCCGUAGCCGAAAGGCGAAGGCGGGCUACUUUCUGAUCCCGUAACCAUCAUCGUCCGCGAAACAUCACUUCGCACCUGCUAGCCUGGAUAGGCAGUGGGUUGCGUGAUUUCUGACAUCGUAAAGAGGAGAUCGAUCCGAGUUGGGUCGUGCAGCAAGUGUUGCGCGAGCCUUCAUUAUCUCCGGAUCAUUUCGGCGCUCGCUUCCGGCCGUGAGGUUGGAUGCGGGUUGUAAAUGAUCCUUUUAGCGAAGCUUGACCGCCUCGCUAUCGGACCGAUCUUACGAAGCAAGCUGGUCUUUCUAGUCAAUGUCCGGCUGUACGUAGCGUUCAUCGAGGGCGCGUGCCGCAAGGCAGUCGUACAGACAACAUUCUGCCGAGUGUGUGGACAUUGAUAAUGAGAGCAAUCAAGUGCCUUAAGGGUGUUCGGUGGAUGCCUUGGCGCUGAGAGGCGAUGAAGGACGUGCUACGCUGCGAUAAGCCGUGNGGAGCUGCGAAGAAGCUUUGAUCCGCGGAUUUCCAUGGGGGAAAAACACGGAAUCNAAGCUUCUUCGCAGCUCC
rnacentral:misc_RNA from 1 species